ACGCACGCUGGCGGCGUGCUUCACACAUGCAAGUCGAACGGAAAGGCCUGCUUUCCCUUGUGGAUUGCGGGUACUCGAGUGGCGAACGGGUGAGUAACACGUGAGUGAUCUGCCCCCAACUUGGGUAUAAGCCUGGGAAACUGGGUCUAAUUCCCGAUAGGACUGCAGGGUGGUGCCUGUGGUGGAAAACGAUUUUCUAGUGGUUGGGGAUGAGCUCGCGGCCUAUCAGCUUGUUGGUGGGGUAAUGGCCUACCAAGGCGGCGACGGGUAGCCGGCCUGAGAGGGUGGACGGCCACAUUGGGACUGAGAUACGGCCCAGACUCCUACGGGAGGCAGCAGUGGGGAAUAUUGCACAAUGGGCGGAAGCCUGAUGCAGCGACGCCGCGUGGGGGAUGACGGCCUUCGGGUUGUAAACUCCUUUCGACCGCGAGGAAGCCACCUGGUUGGAAGGGUGGUGACGGUAGUGGUAGAAGAAGCACCGGCUAACUACGU
rnacentral:rRNA from 1 species